AGCGAACGCUGGCGGCAGGCCUAACACAUGCAAGUCGAACGAAGUCUUCGGACUUAGUGGCGGACGGGUGAGUAACACGUGGGAACGUGCCUUUAGGUUCGGAAUAACUCAGGGAAACUUGUGCUAAUACCGAAUGUGCCCUUCGGGGGAAAGAUUUAUCGCCUUUAGAGCGGCCCGCGUCUGAUUAGCUAGUUGGUGAGGUAAAGGCUCACCAAGGCGACGAUCAGUAGCUGGUCUGAGAGGAUGAUCAGCCACAUUGGGACUGAGACACGGCCCAAACUCCUACGGGAGGCAGCAGUGGGGAAUCUUGCGCAAUGGGCGAAAGCCUGGCGAAGCCAUGCCGCGUGAAUGAUGAAGGUCUUAGGAUUGUAAAAUUCUUUCACCGGGGACGAUAAUGACGGUACCCGGAGAAGAAGCCCCGGCUAACUUCGUGCCAGCCGCCGCCGUAAGAC
rnacentral:rRNA from 1 species